rnacentral:rRNA from 1 species
UACGAAGGGGGCGAGCGUUGUUCGGAUUUACUGGGUGUAAAGGGUUCGUAGGCGGUGUGGCAAGUCGGGAGUGAAAUCUCUGGGCUCAACCCAGAGUCUGCUUCCGAAACUGCUGUGCUUGAGUGUGGGAGAGGCGCGUGGAAUUGCAGGUGUAGCGGUGAAAUGCGUAGAUAUCUGCAGGAACACCCGUGGCGAAAGCGGCGCGCUGGACCACUACUGACGCUGAGGAACGAAAGCUAGGGGAGCAAACAGG